rnacentral:rRNA from 1 species
GUAGGGAAUAUUGCUCAAUGGGGGAAACCCUGAAGCAGCAACGCCGCGUGGAGGAUGAAGGUUUUAGGAUUGUAAACUCCUUUUGUAAGAGAAGAUUAUGACGGUAUCUUACGAAUAAGCACCGGCUAACUCCGUGCCAGCAGCCGCGGUAAUACGGAGGGUGCAAGCGUUACUCGGAAUCACUGGGCGUAAAGAGCGCGUAGGCGGGAGAGUAAGUCAGAUGUGAAAUCCUGUAGCUUAACUACAGAACUGCAUUUGAAACUACUUUUCUAGAGUAUGGGAGAGGUAGGUGGAAUUCUUGGUGUAGGGGUAAAAUCCGUAGAGAUCAAGAGGAAUACUCAUUGCGAAGGCGACCUGCUGGAACAUUACUGACGCUGAUGCGCGAAAGCGUGGGGAGCAAACAGGAUUAGAAACCCUAGUAGUCC